UUUUAAUCAUAUUAAAAGAACUUGGACCUAUCACAACUAUUGGUCCAAGUUAAUAUGAAUUAGUAGCAUAUAAUACUCCCACUAUUUCGAAGAAAUAAAUGAGACUAUAUGGAACUACUAACGAAUGCAUUGCAUCCUCAUAUGGACUAUAUAGUCAUAUUAGGUUUUAGGAUGAUUAUGAACCGAUUAAUGUGAUCCAACAUGAGCCUUGUGUUGGACCUUGGGUUUAAGGUAGAUAGUUGUUGAUUUUAGUUACGCGUUUAAUCCAAUUAAACCGUUAUUUCCUAUUGGGCGUUGGACCCAACUAUUCCAUUUUGAAUACAUAUAAACAAAA
rnacentral:lncRNA from 1 species